rnacentral:rRNA from 1 species
GACGAACGCUGGCGGCGUGCCUAAUACAUGCAAGUAGAACGCUGAAGAGAGGAGCUUGCUCUUCUUGGAUGAGUUGCGAACGGGUGAGUAACGCGUAGGUAACCUGCCUUGUAGCGGGGGAUAACUAUUGGAAACGAUAGCUAAUACCGCAUAACAAUAGGUGACACAUGUCAUUUAUUUGAAAGGGGCAAUUGCUCCACUACAAGAUGGACCUGCGUUGUAUUAGCUAGUAGGUGAGGUAACGGCUCACCUAGGCGACGAUACAUAGCCGACCUGAGAGGGUGAUCGGCCACACUGGGACUGAGACACGGCCCAGACUCCUACGGGAGGCAGCAGUAGGGAAUCUUCGGCAAUGGGGGCAACCCUGACCGAGCAACGCCGCGUGAGUGAAGAAGGUUUUCGGAUCGUAAAGCUCUGUUGUAAGUCAAGAACGAGUGUGAGAGUGGAAAGUUCACACUGUGACGGUAGCUUACCAGAAAGGGACGGCUAACUACGUGCCAGCAGCCGCGGUAAUACGUAGGUCCCGAGCGUUGUCCGGAUUUAUUGGGCGUAAAGCGAGCGCAGGCGGUUUGAUAAGUCUGAAGUUAAAGGCUGUGGCUCAACCAUAGUUCGCUUUGGAAACUGUCAAACUUGAGUGCAGAAGGGGAGAGUGGAAUUCCAUGUGUAGCGGUGAAAUGCGUAGAUAUAUGGAGGAACACCGGUGGCGAAAGCGGCUCUCUGGUCUGUAACUGACGCUGAGGCUCGGAAGCGUGGGGAGCGAACAGG